UUUAGAAAAAAGAAAUUUUGGAAGCAGCUGAAAGAUGACAAUAACUAUUCAGCAUCCACUUGUGACUGAUGUUCUAAAACUAAAAUAUUAGGAAGGUAUAAGGAAAAGGACAGAAAAGAAGGAACCCUAAUUCAUCUGCUUCUUCUCCGUCUCACGUUCAACCGCCCAGCCCCUUCCUUGCCUCUCCGGUAGUAUCUCGAUGACAGUCCUUUGAGAUUAGCGGCGGAUCGUACUCUCACUCACUCAGUUUCUGGAAGUGAUUUGCUGAUUAAACGGAGCAAUAUGUGUAUUAUUUGCGGAAUCAUCUUCUGAAUUCUUCCUAGGGAUAAGGUUGAAGAUGGACAUAAUUUCCCAAUUGCAGGAACAAGUUAACACAAUUGCUGCUUUAGCUUUCAACACAUUUGGGACAUUGCAGAGAGACGCUCCUCCAGUUCGUUUAUCCCCUAAUUACCCCGAACCACCGUCUCAGGAGCCUACAGAGGAUAGUGCAACCAUCGCAGAGCAGCCCAAGCUUAUGAGUGCCGCUUUGGUGAAAGCUGCCAAGCAGUUUGAUGCACUGGUUGCAGCAUUGCCUCUAUCUGAUGGAGGUGAAGAAGAGCAAUUGAAAAGGAUUGCAGAACUACAGGCUGAGAACGAUGUUGUAGGUCAAGAACUUCAAAAGCAGCUACAAGCAGCAGGUGUUACCUCCGUCUUCUUGUUAAUCUUUAUAUUUUCAAGCAGCAGUUGACUGAUGUUUGGCUGGCGACUUACAUCAGUUGAAAUAACUCUAUUUAAUAAUUUUAGCCCUAAAUAGCAAGAAUUAGUACAAGUUCAGGAGCUGUUCAGCCAAGUAGCAGAUAAUUGCUUGAACUUAAAGAAAGCAGAUUGAAAGAGUGGGGGAACUUUCCUAUGCUACCAAUGUAUGGAAACUUUCCGCCUUCAUUUCUGCCACAUGACUCUUUGUUUUUAUAUUACAUAUAUGUAGAAAUAUACGUGAUUCUACAGUUUAUGGAAGAAAAAUAAUUUUGUCCA